ensembl:lncRNA
CUCAGAUCCAAGACAGCUUUUAAAUCUGCCUACCUCUUAGCAAAACUCAGCUCUAAUCCUAGUGUAAGCAAAUGGAUGUUAGUAAAACAAAAGCAUUAAACAGCUUCCCGAUCUCCUUCUCCCGCUCUUCCUGCUCUCCUUCUUUCCCCUCCAGCCAUUCUUUGCCAUAUCUGCAGCAUCAGGCUGUAUUCUUAAUAGGCAGCUUGAUAAGUCUAUCCAUUGUGACCACAAUCUUUGCCAAAACUGGAGGCUUUAAAGCCUAAAAUGGUGCGCUGCCACUUUUGGGAUUAAAGACACUAAAGGCUGUCUGGAUGAAGCAUCAAUAGAUUGUUUCUCUGAGGAUGAGAUAGCGAGGGAGUAAAGAAACACACACCUAUGGCUCCUACCAUUCAUCUUCCUGAUACAGGCUCUGGAGGCAUGGCACAGAUUUUGGGGAGCUAGGAUUCUGGGCUCACAGUGCUUGCUGUGACCCUGCUCGCUGGGGCUCAGUGAGAUGGAUACGGGCAGAAGUAUCAUCGAGAUUUAAUGUGGCAGUUUUAGACUCAUAAUCAAAGUUGGCAUCUCUGUUGCCGAUCUUAAGGAGCGUAUCUGGUUUUACAGAGGCACAGCUCCCAUCAUGAACUUCUUUAAUUGCACAUAAGCCCUGAUUUUUGCAGCUCCACUUUUAUAAAAGCCUUUUUAGCUCUUAUUGCCUGGAGCCAUCUGAGGCUACAGAAUUGUCCCCAGUUUUUUGAAGACCUGAUUUUUCAGUGGUGUUUUUGUGUCCUGAGACUUUUUGCAAAAAAAAAAAUGAGAGCUAAAGGCGCUAAUAAAGAAGUGGCAAUAAUUAGAAAACGUCUUGCACAGUACAGAUUUUAUAACUCCACAGAUACCGUGGUAUUAACAUUCUGUUUGUCCACCUGUUAGAAGAAAGAGAUCUGAAGAGUCAUAACUCUAAAACAGUGGGUGACAAUUUAAUGAAAAAUUGAGCUCUGCGUUUAAUUUCCUUUUAAGUUCAGUUGAGCAUUCUACAAGAUCAAAGGGGCUUUGUGGUUUGCAAAUGAUCUACGAUAUCAGAGAAACAGAUUAUAACCCGGCACAGUUUGGUAUUUAAACAUAGUUAUGGAGAAUCAGCACACACUGAUGUCCAGGCUCGAAGAAUCCGUUCAAUUGGGGAGGAAGAUUUAAAUGUUCCCAGUUCAGGUCUCCAGACAUCUCCAAAUUUCAUAUGAAGUAAGACAAGUCCAUGAGGUUCUACUAUUGUUGAAUAUAAGGUCCCUCUAGCCUCAGGCUCUGAAUGUGGCCUUUAAGAACUGCACCCUUUUCUGAUUGCUGCGAGCUUGUUGCCCUCACCAAAAACUCUUGAAUGCCAUCAGCAAAGCUCCUGUCCACUCUGACAAUGUGAAAUCGGAUAAAGAUGGUAAUGCUACAUUAUAACAGCGCUCCUGAGCCAUGUGAACAGCUUACACAGACACCAGAAUAGAGUAAGAGACCUGCAGGAGCAUGCUUUCACGUGCAAAGCAUCCUGAAGAUUCAAAAAUGCCACUCAUCGCAGGAACCAGACAACAGCGUAUUUCAUUAUCAGCAGGA